rnacentral:rRNA from 1 species
UACGAAGGGGGCUAGCGUUGUUCGGAAUUACUGGGCGUAAAGGGCGCGUAGGCGGCACUGUUAGUCAGGCGUGAAAGUCCUGGGCUCAACCUGGGAACUGCGCUUGAUACGGCAGAGCUAGAGGAUGGAAGAGGGUCGCGGAAUUCCCAGUGUAGAGGUGAAAUUCGUAGAUAUUGGGAAGAACACCGGUGGCGAAGGCGGCGACCUGGUCCAUUACUGACGCUGAGGCGCGACAGCGUGGGGGAGCAAACAGG